CCUACGGGUGGCAGCAGUCGAGAAUCAUUCACAAUGGGGGAAACCCUGAUGGUGCGACGCCGCGUGGGGGAAUGAAGGUCUUCGGAUUGUAAACCCCUGUCAUGUGGGAGCAAAUUAAAAAGAUAGUACCACAAGAGGAAGAGACGGCUAACUCUGUGCCAGCAGCCGCGGUAAUACAGAGGUCUCAAGCGUUGUUCGGAAUCACUGGGCGGAAAGCGUGUGUAGGCUGUUUCGUAAGUCGUGUGUGAAAGGCGCGGGCUCAACCCACGGACGGCACAGGAUACUACGAAACUAGAGUAAUAGAGAGGGAACCGGAAUUCUCGGUGUAGCAGUGAAAUGCGUAGAUAUCGAGAGGAACACUCGUGGCGAAGGCGGGUUCCUGGACAUUAACUGACGCUGAGGCACGAAGGCCAGGGGAGCGAAAGGGAUUAGAUACCCUGGUAGUC
rnacentral:rRNA from 1 species